rnacentral:rRNA from 1 species
UACGGGGGGGGUAAGCGUUGUUCGGAAUUACUGGGCGUAAAGGGCUCGUAGGCGGCCAACUAAGUCAGACGUGAAAUCCCUCAGCUUAACUGGGGAACUGCGUCUGAUACUGGAUGGCUUGGAUUUGGGAGAGGGAUGCGGAAUUCCAGGUGUAGCGGUGAAAUGCGUAGAUAUCUGGAGGAAUACCGGUGGCGAAGGCGGCAUCCUGGACCGACAUUGACGCUGAAAGCCGAAAGCUAGGGGAGCAAACGGG